rnacentral:rRNA from 1 species
GAUGAACGCUGGCGGCGUGCCUAAUACAUGCAAGUCGAGCGAACGGACGAGAAGCUUGCUUUUCUGAUGUUAGCGGCGGACGGGUGAGUAACACGUGGAUAACCUACCUAUAAGACUGGGAUAACUUCGGGAAACCGGAGCUAAUACCGGAUAAUAUUUUGAACCGCAUGGUUCAAAAGUGAAAGACGGUCUUGCUGUCACUUAUAGAUGGAUCCGCGCUGCAUUAGCUAGUUGGUAAGGUAACGGCUUACCAAGGCAACGAUGCAUAGCCGACCUGAGAGGGUGGUCGGCCACACUGGAACUGAGACACGGUCCAGAGUCCUACGGGAGGCAGCAGUAGGGAAUCUUCCGCAAUGGGCGAAAGCCUGACGGAGCAACGCCGCGUGAGUGAUGAAGGUCUUCGGAUCGUAAAACUCUGUUAUUAGGGAAGAACAUAUGUGUAAGUAACUGUGCACAUCUUGACGGUACCUAAUCAGAAAGCCACGGCUAACUACGUG